GUUGCUGACACCGGCUAAGGCGCACUGUGCGCCAGGCACUGUGGUAGGCCCUUCGUGCGUGGUAGCUCGCCUCCUUCUCAGAGCAGCAUUAUGAGGUGAAUAUGAACUGCAAGCAAACAUUGGCGGGGGCAGGGAAGCACCUGAAAGGACUUGAAAGAGGCCACUUGGGAUCUUGUCGGGUUUAAAUCAUACGAUAAACUUGCCAUCUGAAAACUCAUGUGUAGUAAAUCCUGCUGCCAGGACAUUGCAGUGAACAUUCAACACAGAAGUGAGAACCGAUAUUCAAGGACUGAAGCCGUCGCCCACAUCAUUUAAGGACUGUUGACCCCAGCGGCUGGGCAUUUCUCAGCUUCCCCAAGCCACCAAGCCACCGACUGCCAUGUUUCAAGGACACUGAAGGGGAGGUCUUCUGGGGAAGAACUGGGGCCUGUCACCAACAACCAGCCCCAGCCUGCUAGCCAUAUGACCAAGCCACCUUGAAAGUUGACUUUCUAGUCCCAGUGAAGCCUUCAGAUGACAUCAGCCCUGGUGGAAAUCUUAAGUGCAGCCUCAUGGGAGAUGGAGGACACUCAGGCAGCCUGUGGAGAGACCAUGAGGUGAGGAGCAGAGACCUGCGAGGAACACCUGGGUGAACUUGGUCUUGAGUCUUCUGAGUCCUGCCAACAUGGCCACAGACCAGCACCCGGCUGACAGCCGCCAAGGCAACAGGGACCUCAACUCUCCAUCUGUAAGGAACGGCAUUCAACCCCAACUUGAAUGAGCUUGGAAGUGAUUUAUCCUGAAGUCUCCAGAAAGGAAUGCAGUCCUGCUGACGGCUUGAUUUAGGUCUUGUGAAACCCAGAGCAGAGAAACCAAUACAGCCAACUGGAAUUUCAGAUCUACAGAG